UAGGUUCAUCCACCCGUCUUCAAUGGGUCAA
rnacentral:piRNA from 1 species